rnacentral:rRNA from 1 species
GGAUUAGAUACCCUGGUAGUCCACGCCGUAAACGAUGGAUACUUGGUGUUGGAGGUAUUGACCCCUUCAGUGCCGUAGCUAACGCGUUAAGUAUCCCGCCUGAGGAGUACGGUCGCAAGAUUAAAACUCAAAGAAAUUGACGGGGGCCCGCACAAGCGGUGGAGCAUGUGGUUUAAUUCGAUGCAACGCGAAAAACCUUACCUGGGUUUGACAUGUACUGGAAGUACUCAGAGAUGAGUGCGCCUUCGGGCCGGUACACAGGUGCUGCAUGGCUGUCGUCAGCUCGUGCCG